rnacentral:rRNA from 1 species
GGGGGGGGCGGGCGGCGGGCCGAAGACAUGCAAGUCGAGCGAACAGACGAGGAGCUUGCUCCUCUGACGUUAGCGGCGGACGGGUGAGUAACACGUGGAUAACCUACCUAUAAGACUGGGAUAACUUCGGGAAACCGGAGCUAAUACCGGAUAAUAUAUUGAACCGCAUGGUUCAAUAGUGAAAGACGGUUUUGCUGUCACUUAUAGAUGGAUCCGCGCCGCAUUAGCUAGUUGGUAAGGUACCGGCUUACCAAGGCAACGAUGCGUAGCCGACCUGAGAGGGUGAUCGGCAACACUGGAACUGAGACACGGUCCAGACUCCUACGGGAGGCAGCAGUAGGGAAUCUUCCGCAAUGGGCGAAAGCCUGACGGAGCAACGCCGCGUGAAUGAUGAAGGUCUUCGGAUCGUAAAACUCUGUUAUUAGGGAAGAACAAAUGUGUAAGUAACUAUGCACGUCUUGACGGUACCUAAUCAGAAAGCCACGGCUAACUACGUG